UUUUGGACAAUGGGCGCAAGCCUGAUCCAGCAAUGCCGCGUGAGUGAAGAAGGCCUUCGGGUUGUAAAGCUCUUUUGUCAGGGAAGAAACGGUGAGCUCUAAUACAGUUUGCUAAUGACGGUACCUGAAGAAUAAGCACCGGCUAACUACGUGCCAGCAGCCGCGGUAAUACGUAGGGUGCAAGCGUUAAUCGGAAUUACUGGGCGUAAAGCGUGCGCAGGCGGUUAUGUAAGUCAGAUGUGAAAUCCCCGGGCUCAACCUGGGAAUGGCAUUUGAGACUGCAUGGCUAGAGUGUGUCAGAGGGGGGUAGAAUUCCACGUGUAGCAGUGAAAUGCGUAGAGAUGUGGAGGAAUACCGAUGGCGAAGGCAGCCCCCUGGGAUAACACUGACGCCCAGCACGAA
rnacentral:rRNA from 1 species